rnacentral:rRNA from 1 species
ACGGAGGGUGCGAGCGUUGUUCGGAAUUAUUGGGCGUAAAGCGCGUGUAGGCGGUUUUUUAAGUCUGAUGUGAAAGCCCUGGGCUCAACCUGGGAAGUGCAUUGGAAACUGGGAGACUUGAAUACGGGAGAGGGUAGUGGAAUUCCUGGUGUAGGAGUGAAAUCCGUAGAUAUCAGGAGGAACACCGGUGGCGAAGGCGGCUGCCUGGACCGAUAUUGACGCUGAGACGCGAAAGCCAGGGGAGCGAACG